rnacentral:miRNA from 1 species
UCAUUUGUGCCAAUCAUUCUA